GAUGCAGAGGAGGGUUCGGUACCUGAUGCGGGGAAAGGGUCGGCAACGGAUGCAGGGAUGGGAUGCUGAUAGUCCAUUGGCACCAUUUUGGAGCAGUCACUGCUUGCAGGAUAGUGGGGAAACGCACAUCCUCCUCAGCAGGUACUUCUCAAUACUGUUAUUUAUUGUCAAUCUAUCAAUCUCUUUUUCUUAAUCAGCACCAAAAAAACCUUUGCCAUGAAAACCUGAUUUCAUUUUAUAGGACCUUUCUUGAAAGGCAGCAAAGGACCGCAAAAACCAGACAAAUAAAACAAUAAUUUAUUUGAUGUGAAAUUCCUCCAGGAGCUCAUAAAAAAAAAUAAAUCUCCUUUUAGUGUAGCAGACAUGCUCAGUGCCUAUUUGCUUAAUUAACAUCCUCUCACCCAGCUUUCUAUUUCAACAUUUUAUGUGGGCACUGGGAAGGAAAAGUGGCUCUUCCUGCACAGCCACUCUUGGAGCUGAAUUAAUUUUGGAUUCCCUGCAACUCUGUGUGGUCCCAGGUGGGAAAAGGGACCUGCAGAAAUCUUGCUGCUGCUGCUCUGGGCUUCCUUUUUUUCAGGAAUUUGUCUGGUGACUGAGGGUGUGGCAGAUCACAAAUCCAUUCCCAAAUGUUUGCAGACGUGAGCUUUUAGCAAGAUAUAAAUUAUUUGCAGAGGAAUAGUUGAACCAGCUUGGCAGCUGGAACAUUUUAAAUUAAUGUUGAUGAUAUGAAUAUGCACAAUUAUUCAUUUAUAAAGUUCUAGGGGGAAAGAAAUCUGUUAAAUGGAUGAUAAAAGCUUUCUUGAAAAUUGCUCCAAAUGGGGAAUAACAUGUGGAAAUUAAUUGUCUGCACUACAUUUAGAAAAAUUACUAGGAAAAAUCAGGGUACAUAAUAACAUUAAUUUAGGCAAAAAUAUAAACACAAUCAAAAUUUUCUUCUUGAACAAAUUUUCUUUGAAGAAAUGAAGGUCUGUAGUAAUUUAUUUCAACUACCUGAGUAUUCUCUUGAGGAAUUGUGUCCAGUAGUAACUCCUGCAGUCUUUAAAGGUUGUUAUACAUUCAAAUUGCAAACAAAUUGCAGCCAUUGUCAUCAACCACUGAACUUGGCAUCUGCUGUUCUGCCAGGGCUGAAAGUGUGUGCACAAAUGACACAGAAAUGUCAAUCUGUAUGGACUCUGCAAAACUCUCAAAUGCAGUACCACACAGGCCUGGUCUGCAUGUAAAAUUACAAAUAAUGUAAAUUACAAUGGGGUAUUUUAGUGUCAAUGUUCUUAUCACAUUUUCAAGGUGUGUUCUGUGUCCUGCAAACCUAGUCUUAGCAUAUUCUGUGUGUUUGUCAUAAGGGGUAAUAAUUCAGACUUUCAGGAAGUUCAUCAGGAAGAUGCAGUAGAACAGAUUGAAAAAUACCUUGUGAGAAGAUGGGCAGCUGACAGCACUAACCUCAAUUCUUUAUGCAGAUCAGACAAUCUAUUGCUGAGAAGUUCCUGUAAAUAUCUUUUCACACUAUUUCCAAUUGUUCACCAUGUUCUUGAGAAUGCCUGAACCGGGGAUUAAAAAAUAUUAAUGUACUGAUAUGCAGUAAAGAAUUAAUGUAUUAGCAAUUAAUUUACAAACCAACUAAUGAUCAAAAUGCAUAGUAAAGUAUCAUUCAGGUGUGCAAAGAGUGGAAGUACAGCAGCAUAGCUCCAGUGCAGUGGUGUAAAUGAAAAUUACCUCAGUACAUGGGCCACCAUCUUACCUCAGGUGGCUGCACCAUAAAAUGGGAAUUUGAAAAAUUCUGUUGCCUUGUUCCUGUAAUGAUACAGCUUGUUGUCACUAAUUUCUCAAUAAUAAUGUAUUAAUUUGGAGCUGCUAGGCAGAUGCAGUGAUCCCUGUGCUGCUAUCCAAGUGCAGGUGUCUUAUUUACCAGGAUUAUUUAACAGGCCUGUGUUGGCUGCAAGGUGUGUGGAACAAAGGCUAAAAGUCACAUUUGGCUUUUAACAAACAUGUUUGUUGCUGUUGUGUUUCUUACACCAGGUACAGCUACUGUGACAUCAGUGGAAGUUGUUAAUUUAACCACAAAUAUCAGAUCUUCAUCUUUUCUGUCUCCUUUAUUACUCUUGUCUUUAGGUUAACAAAUUCUCUACUAGCAAGCCAGGGAACUCACUAGUUUGGAGUUUUUCUGAAGUGUUCACAAUCACAUUUAUUUUUCACUGUUUGUUUUAUCAGUAAAACACACUCACGUGUGCCUUUGUUGUGACACAAAAUAUUGCUGUCACCCCACUCACACAAGGUGAAUAUGACUGGUAAUCAGAAAAAAUGUAACACUGAGAUUAAAUGAGAAUAAAAAUACAAGGAAAGAAACUCCACCUCUCUGAGAAUUUUCCUAACUUCAGGACAAGAUGUCACCAUUUUCUACAGCAAUGUGGCACCUAUAAAGUCUAAAAUAUUUAUUUCUGGCAUGCAGAAAUUUCUGCUGGAAAUCAGUUUUAUGGUGAUAGUAUAUAGUUUGUGACUAGAUCAUUUUUCUUGCUUUGAUUACAAGAUUUUUUGACUCAAGGUGCCACUUGAGGUGCGAACCUAAAAGCUGUGUAAAUGUAAGGUUUUUGAAUUUAGCACAUAAUUGUGGAGUACAAACAUAUAUUAUGAAAUAUUUCUGGUGAAUUAAAUGCAUUUUAAAAAUACACCUAAGAAAACCCAAACAAAAACAAGCCUACAACAGAAUUUCUGUUGAUUAAGAGGUAUUUUAUUCCAAAAUUCUAAAUAUCAGAAUCAAAUCAAUAAUUACAUUUUUCAGUUUACCCAAUCAUAGUAUUUUGAAAUUGUAUAUAUAUACAUAGAAAAAUACAACCUAAUAAAAACACUCAAAUUUGCAUUAGGAUGAAAAGAAUGAGUUAAAAAGCAAACCAUAGCUUUAAUAGCUAUACAUUUCAUAUCAGUAUAAAAUUACUGUGCCACAACACCCACUCCUUUGCACAAUUUAUAAUUUAAUACAAAAUAAGGUGACUUCAAAUGUAUAUUUCUCUCCUUAAAUGUACCGAAGACCUUUGAAACAAGUUCAUAGUAACUGAAAAUAUUCCCAUUUAUCCUGCAAGUAUUUACUGCAUGACAAAGAAACAUAAAAUGCAGCACUCUCAUUAGUAUGUUAAUUUUCUGCUUGUGCAAAUAAUGCUCUACUGAUUUAAUGCACAAGCAAACACAAAAAAAAGGCAAAAAAAUCCAUUAUGAAGAAAGAAAAUGUUACAUUUUCAGCAUAUUUGUAUCAUAGCAAAUACAGGUUUCCUUCAUGGACUAGAAAAGCAAAACCUGUACGAGGAUUUUUUUAAGAUGCAAAAUGCUACAUGAAAUCUUCCAUUACUUUGCAAAAGCCAAGGGUCAGGUUAUUCACCUUUAAUGCAGCAUAUCUGGAGAAAGCCAUUGCAUGAAAGGUUAGAUUUCCUGUGCUGUGUUAAAAUUCUACACAUUGGGAAAAAACAGACCUAAAUACCACAACCACAUGAAAAAGCAGUAGUACUACAGACUCAACCCCGUUAUUCUGUAGUCUUUAGUCAAAUUUUCCACCGUGGCCUUAAAGAAGGUGGUCCCAGUUCUGAAGCACUCACGGGUUAGUAGUGGACACACUUUAGAAUAUACACCAAGCUUCACCCAAUGUGGGUGAUCAAAGGCUUCCAACAGCAUCAUUAAUUAAUUAAUUAAUCCAUCACCUCCAGUGAGCACGCUGCCUCUGCAAGGUCCUCACAAAAAAAAAAAAAAA